rnacentral:rRNA from 1 species
CCUACGGGUGGCUGCAGUGGGGAAUAUUGGACAAUGGGCGAAAGCCUGAUCCAGCCAUGCCGCGUGUGUGAAGAAGGCCUUCGGGUUGUAAAGCACUUUCAGUGGGGAAGAAAGCCUUGGGGCUAAUACCCUCGAGGAAGGACAUCACCCACAGAAGAAGCACCGGCUAACUCCGUGCCAGCAGCCGCGGUAAUACGGAGGGUGCGAGCGUUAAUCGGAAUUACUGGGCGUAAAGCGCGCGUAGGCGGUCUGAUAAGCCGGUUGUGAAAGCCCCGGGCUCAACCUGGGAACGGCAUCCGGAACUGUCAGGCUAGAGUGCAGGAGAGGAAGGUAGAAUUCCCGGUGUAGCGGUGAAAUGCGUAGAGAUCGGGGGGAAUACCAGUGGCGAAGGCGGCCUUCUGGACUGACACUGACGCUGAGGUGCGAAAGCGUGGGUAGCAAACAGGAUUAGAUACCCUAGUAGUC